UACAGGGGGUGCAAACGUUGCUCGGCAUUAUUGGGCGUAAAGAGCUUGUAGGCGGUCUGUCGCGUCUGCUGUGAAAAUCCGGGGCUCAACCCCGGACUUGCAGUGGGUACGGGCAGACUAGAGUGUGGUAGGGGAGACUGGAAUUCCUGGUGUAGCGGUGAAAUGCGCAGAUAUCAGGAGGAACACCGAUGGCGAAGGCAGGUCUCUGGGCCACUACUGACGCUGAGAAGCGAAAGCAUGGGGAGCGAACAGG
rnacentral:rRNA from 1 species